CAAAGGAAUUGACGGGGACCCGCACAAGCGGUGGAGCAUGUGGUUUAAUCGACGAUACGCGAAGAACCUUACCUGGCCUUGACAUACUAAAAAGCUUUAAGAGAUUAGAGUGUGCUAGCUUGCUAGAAUUUAGAUACAGGUGCUGCACGGCUGUCGUCAGCUCGUGUCGUGAGAUGUUGGGUUAAGUCCCGCAACGAGCGCAACCUCGUGUUUAGUUGCUAACAGUUCGGCUGAGAACUCUAAACAGACUGCCUACGCAAGUAGGAGGAAGGUGAGGACGACGUCAAGUCAUCAUGGCCCUUACGGCCAGGGCUACACACGUGCUACAAUGGGGUAUACAAAGAGCAGCGAUACGGUGACGUGGAGCAAAUCUAGAAAAUGCCUCUCAGUUCGGAUUGUAGUCUGCAACUCGACUACAUGAAGUUGGAAUCGCUAGUAAUCGUAGAUCAGCAAUGCUACGAUGAAUACGUUCCCGGGUCUU
rnacentral:rRNA from 1 species